UGAUGACGAGACGCUAAGGCGUUGAAGCAGUGUAUGUCAGACUUCCAAGAAAAGCUCGCAAUGUCACAAAUAUAAAAUGCCUGUACCAUAACCGACACAGGUGGGUAGGUAGAGUAUACUAAGGGGCGCGAGAUAACUCUCUCUAAGGAACUCGGCAAAAUGACUCCGUAACUUCGGGAGAAGGAGUGCCUUAUUUAUAAGGUUGCAAUAACAAGACCCAAGCAACUGUUUAUCGAAAACACAGGUCUCCGCUAAGUCGUAAGACGAUGUAUGGGGGCUGACGCCUGCCCAGUGCCAGAAGGUUAAAGAAGUUGGUUAGUGUAUGCGAAGCUGAUGACUGAAGCCCUGGUGAACGGCGGCCGUAACAAUAACGGUCCUAAGGUAGCGAAAUUCCUUGUCGGGUAAGUUCCGACCCGCACGAAAGGCGUAAUGAUUUGGAUACUGUCUCGGAGAGAGGCUCGGUAAAAUAGACUUGUCUGUGAAGAUGCGGACUACCUGCACCAGGACAGAAAGACCCUAUGAAGCUUUACUGUAACUUGAAAUUGGAAUUGGACUUUGCUUGCGCAGUAUAGGUGGGAAGCGUUGAAAAUAUUCUUGCGGGAGUAUUGGAGCUAUCAGUGAGAUACCACUCUUGUAAUGUUAGAUUUCUAACUUUGAACCAUAAUCUGGUCAAAGAACAGUUUCAGGUGGGCAGUUUGACUGGGGCGGUCGCCUCCCAAAUGGUAACGGAGGCGUACAAAGGUUUCCUCUGAACGGAUAGAAAUCGUAUCUAGAGUGUAAAGGCAUAAGGAAGCUUGACUGUGAGACCUACAAGUCGAGCAGGGACGAAAGUCGGUCUUAGUGAUCUGACGGUACUGAGUGGAAAGGCCGUCACUCAACGGAUAAAAGUUACUCUAGGGAUAACAGGCUGAUCUCCCCCAAGAGUUCACAUCGACGGGGAGGUUUGGCACCUCGAUGUCGGCUCAUCGCAUCCUGGGGCGGUAGUACGUCCCAAGGGUUGGGCUGUUCGCCCAUGAAAGCGGUACGCGAGCUGGGUUCAGAACGUCGUGAGACAGUUCGGUCCAUAUCCGGUGUAGGCGCUAGAAUAUUGAGAGGAGCCUUCUUUAGUACGAGAGGACCGAGAAGGACACACCGCUGGUGUACCAGUUAUCGUGCCAACGGUAAACGUUGGGUAGCUAUGUGUGGAGUGGAUAACCGCUGAAAGCAUCUAAGUGGGAAGCCCACCUCGAGAUGAGUAUUC
rnacentral:rRNA from 1 species